rnacentral:rRNA from 1 species
UACGAAGGGUGCUAGCGUUGUUCGGAAUUACUGGGCGUAAAGCGCGCGCAGGCGGCUAUCCAAGUCAGUGGUGAAAGCCCGGAGCUCAACUCCGGAACUGCCAUUGAAACUGUUUAGCUUGAGUAUGAGAGAGGUGAUUGGAAUUCCCAGUGUAGAGGUGAAAUUCGUAGAUAUUGGGAAGAACACCGGUGGCGAAGGCGGCUCACUGGCCCAUUACGGACGCUCAGGCGCGAUAGCGUGGGGAUCAAACAGG